UACGUAGGGGGCGAGCGUUGUCCGGAUUUACUGGGCGUAAAGAGCGCGCAGGCGGUCGUUCAAGUCGCGUGUGAAAGCCCCCGGCUCAACUGGGGAGGGUCACGCGAUACUGAUCGACUCGAAGGCAGGAGAGGGAAGUGGAAUUCCCGGUGUAGCGGUGAAAUGCGCAGAUAUCGGGAGGAACACCGGUGGCGAAGGCGGUUCUCUGGGCCUUACCUGACGCUGAGGAGCGAAAGCGUGGGGAGCGAACAGG
rnacentral:rRNA from 1 species